GACGAACGCUGGCGGCGUGCUUUACACAUGCAAGUCGAACGGUGAAGGUGGAGCUUGCUCCGCCGGAUCAGUGGCGAACGGGUGAGUAACACGUGGGCAACCUGCCCCUAACUUUGGGAUAACUACUCGAAAGAGUAGCUAAUACCGGAUAUGAAGUCUGUAGGCAUCUACGGACUUGGAAAGUUUUUCGGUUAGGGAUGGGCCCGCGGCCUAUCAGCUUGUUGGUGAGGUAGUGGCUCACCAAGGCGACGACGGGUAGCGGGCCUGGGAGGGCGACCGGCCACACUGGGACUGAGACACGGCCCAGACUCCUACGGGAGGCAGCAGUGGGGAAUAUUGCGCGAUGGGCGAAAGCCUGACGCAGCAACGCCGCGUGCGGGAUGAAGGCCUUCGGGUUGUAAACCGCUUUCAGCAGGGAAGAAGCGAAAGUGACGGUACCUGCAGAAGAAGUACCGGUUAACUACGUGCCAGCAGCCGCAGUAA
rnacentral:rRNA from 1 species